rnacentral:sRNA from 1 species
UAAUAGCCCCGAUUGUAGUGUAAAUCCUGGCCUUGCGAAUCGAAAAAUUUAAAUUAAUUACGCUACUCCAAUUGCAAGGACAGAUUGCAACGGAAAGCGGGACCGAGA